rnacentral:rRNA from 1 species
AGCGAACGCUGGCGGCAGGCCUAACACAUGCAAGUCGAACGAACCCUUCGGGGUUAGUGGCGGACGGGUGAGUAACACGUGGGAACGUGCCUUUAGGUUCGGAAUAACUCAGGGAAACUUGUGCUAAUACCGAAUGUGCCCUUCGGGGGAAGGAUUUUUCGCCUUUGGAGCGGCCCGCGUCUGAUUAGCUAGUUGGGGAGGUAAUGGCUCACCAAGGCUACGAUCAGUAGCUGGUCUGAGAGGAUGACCAGCCACAUUGGGACUGAGACACGGCCCAAACUCCUACGGGAGGCAGCAGUGGGGAAUCUUGCGCAAUGGGCGAAAGCCUGACGCAGCCAUGCCGCGUGGAUGAUGAAGGUCUUAGGAUUGUAAAAUCCUUUCACCGGUGAAGAUAAUGACUGUAGCCGGAGAAGAAGCCCCGGCUAACUUCGUGCCAGCCGCCGCCAUAAUAC